rnacentral:tRNA from 1 species
GUCCUUGUAGCUCACCAGGAUAGAGCGAGAGUUUCCUAAACUCUAGGUAGUAGGUUCGAGUCCUAUCAAGGGCA